rnacentral:lncRNA from 1 species
GUGCUUGACAUGAAGAUCCAUUGUUGGCAGAGUUGCACAGAGAAGUUUGGUGGAAUUAAAGUGGCAUCACAUUUUCAUAGGAGUAUGACUGCAAGCACCUAAGGUAAGUUAGAAGCCUUACAACAGUUUACAGCAGAUUAUGAAAGCAACGUGGAAGACUUAUCCAGUGCUUGACAUGAAGAUCCAUUGUUUGGCAGAGUUGCACAGAGAAGUUUGGUGGAAUUAAAGUGGCACCACAUUUUCAUAGAAGUAUGAGUGCAAGCGCCAAAGGUAAGUUAGAUGCCUUACAACAUUUUACAGCAUUUCAGCAGGCAUAGUUACGGCUUAACUAUGUGGUUGCAGCUGCAAGCCUGAUUUUUGUAUCCAAUUUUACUUUCAGCUUUGCAUAGUAAUCGAUAGAAUCUUUGCCUGCUUGAUGAAACAUGCUUUCUAUGACCACUUCAUCAUUGCUGCCACAUUUUAUUAAGCUUCAAGCCUUAAUAAUUAUAACAAUGUUGAGUUUCUUCCUCUCCUUACUGUAUGAGAAACUGUGUUGACAUUAUUCUUUGGUUUCUUAUGUUAAUCAUGCAUAAAUAGAUCAAAGAGGUUGUUGCUUAUAUUUUUUGUUUUUGCUUUGAUUUUUCGAACUUUUGUCAAAGAGGUUGAAAAAAUUUGGAAAAUUGUGGAGUUUUACAACUAGAAUUGUGUUUGACAGUCAAAAGAACUGUGUUGAUCAACCACUCAGAUGUCAUGUGAAAAAACUGCUUACGAAAUGGAUAACUUCUAAUCUGAAAUGGUUCCAUUAUAUUCAUACAUAGUGAAUAAUCUCCAAGGACAAGAUAAGUUCAGGAGUGAAAUCCAAGCCUAAAUUAUUCUGAUUUGAGUAAGAUGUGUCAUAAUUUCUGUACAGAGCAGUUACUAGACCUAUGAGAACUGUAAAUCAAAUUGAAUACAAUUUUUUGAUAAACCAAACAAAUGGUGUAAAAUGAGGCAUUAUAAUUAAUAAAUCUGUGUUUGAUAACCAAACAACUGUAAACCAAACAAAUAAAUCUGUGUUUGAUAACCAAACAACUGUAAACCAAACAAAUAAAUCUGUGUUUGAUAAAGAUGAGGCAUUAUAAUUCUGUUUAUUACCUUUUUCUUUUUCUCUGCAAAAUGAACAAAGGUAUCGAAUUUACAUGGCUUUCCAUGAAUAUACUUGGUCCUCUGCAACAUAGAUACACUUCUGGUCCUAAGAUAGGCCUUGAAAAAUGAUGUAAAACGGGAUAUAAUGCAAGUUCUAAAAUUUGGAUAUACUAACAGUAACAAAUGCUUUAUUACAGUGAUAGUGGAGUAGUACCGGUCCUUCUGGAUAAUGGGUCUUCAUUGAAUCCGAAGG